ensembl:lncRNA
UUGGGUUGUCUGGACCUAAAAACACAAAUUUGUCUCUACAAGAGCCUGAUAUCCACUUACGAGGACAUUAUCCUGCCACUGUUCUAUCAAAAUUUAAAACAAAUGUCCUCAUAUGUGGAUCUCAUUUUUGUCAGAAACACAAAUCAGGUCAAAAAAUUAAUCUGGCAAUUCUUUGUUUUUACAUUCAUGAGGUCCCAAUAUGCCCAAAUAUCAAAGAGAAAUUAAAAAUGCAUGCCAUGGAAGAGUUCAGGUCUUAGGAGGUUAAGGCACGAGGAUCUGUCUCUAUACUGCAUAAAUGAACUUGCAAAAAAGAAAAAGUAGGAGCACAGCACAUAUACAGUACGCUGCUAUCACACUUUAUUAAAAAUAGAAACAUAUAUUCAUAGUACUUUUCAUACAGACUACAAUGGUCCACUGGUAUUACUUUCAAAAAAGAGUUACAUACUAUAAAACACUCAUUUGGCCUAAAUCCACUGUAGAAAUGUCUCAAAAACAAAAUAACAAAAACGAUAAGGAAGUCUAAAUGAAUCCCAUUGUUUCAGAGCUCUUCCUUCUUGUGCGUUAAAACACAACAAAGGUUAUGGAAAGGUGGAAAAAUGUAAAUAUGGAGAGGAAGAUGAGCGAAAUAAAUGCACAUACGAUCGAGUUUAAAAAAAGAUGGCACAUUUAUUGCAACAUAAAUGUUAUAUACAUCGUGUUUUUCUGUUUGAAAAUGACAGAAAAUUCAAAUUCUCGUUGCCGCAGUUUUUCAAUGUGCAUCAACAACACCUUUUAUUUGACACAAGAACAAAUCUUUUUUUUUUUCCUUUUUUUUUUUUUUUUUCAAUCAAUCAACAACGGAGACUGAGGAGUACGAUGGAGGUCGCGCUUUUAGGAAUCUGGAGCUCAUACGGAGCCUUUUUGAAGUACUAAACUACGAGCAGCAGUUCAGCCGUGUUCUUGAGAUGCCAUAUGUAACUUUUUUGUGAUAAUGGACAGGUUAUGGUAAAUAACCGUACAUUUUACUAUCUAAUAUAGUAAAAUAAAGUAAGAAACUUUUUACUCAAAACUUUUGCUUUCAAAAAUCUAGAAAGAGUAAUAUUUAGAAUUCAAGAAAUAUUCUUACAGUAUUAUUGUAUAAAAGACUAACUACAGUGAAAAAUAAGCCAAAUGUUUUUUUUUCUUUUGAUUUUCUUUUUUUUUUCAUAUAUUAUACAAGGGAAAGCAUCUGGGGAUACAGCAAAGUUUAACUUGGCAAACAGAGGAGCAAAGAAACACAGGAAGAACGGGAAGUUUAAAAGAAAGAAAGAAAACAAAUGAAGGGAAGCGAGCCGGAAGUGACACACAUUAUACCCUCAAAGUCUGCCGACAUGAAUACAGGAUCAUGAAUACUGAAAUGAUGAACAAGGCCUCAUUCAGUCAGAGAACACACCACAACCGACCAGGUCUCUCUCUUUUUGGAUUCUUCUUCACUAAAAUGAGGUUGUUAAAUUGUAAACUCAUCAUCCUUUAUUCUAAUCAAAGUCCCUUUAUCGUACAGAAUACUCGUUCUGAAUGCGGCAGCCUUGUUUAAGGUGUAAAUAAUGAUAGAACGCAAUAUACAAAGAAAUAAAUGGAAUAUAAAGCAAGUCUUAAGACCGAAAAGACUCAAAAAAAGGAAAACGUAACGCAUGCACACGGAUAGGGAAAAAGAAAUAAAGCCAUGACCGAUGUCUUGGAACAUAAAAAAGAAAAAUCCUGCUUUUGUUCAUCAUCAUCAUCCUCAUUAUCAUGAUCAUGCUACAGUUCAAUGAUACUCAGAAUAAUCCAUGAAAUGUUCAGUCUGCUUUGCCAUACUGAGAAUAGCAUGGCUUCCAUCAAAACAUCACUGAAAAUAACUUACAGAUUUUCUCUGCUAGCUAAAACCCGGAAAUUAUAAUGCUGGACAGAAAGGACUUGUUACAACAAAUAAGCAUAACUAAAUUUUAGUCAGGAGUAACUGCGCUUAUUAGAAUUUAAUGUCUUGAGAUAUUAACAGAAAGAAAAUUGAUAUGUUUGAUCAGGCCAGGAGAAACUGUGGUCGUCGUUUUGUGUUGUUUGGGUUUUUUUUGCGUGUUUUUCUACUUUUGUUUGUUUUGAACGUCUUCAUUAGGAGAUCUCUGAUUAGCUGGUGGCAGAAACAAGAAAAUAAUAACACAUUUUCAAAAGAAAAAAAGCCACUUCUGUGCCAACACAGCCAACACUUCUGUGCUGACGUCCGGAGGAAGAAUCUGCAAACAUACGCCACUGCUUACGUUUAACACUAUAUGGCAAAGGGAAGCGAGGGCGCUGGAGUCGCCUCUUCCUUUAGUUAAGACACUAAAAUAUGCAGGGAAUGCUAAGGUUUGCAAAAAGUUUGCCCUCUGUAUUUUCACUGCUCACUACUGGGAAAAAACAAACAAAAAAAAACAAUUAAAUCUGAGCCUUCAGUGAAGCUACAGUUUGCCGUUUGUGCGUCACCUCCCGUGCUGUUGACGCUAUCGUAGCUGGACCUGUUACCUGCCGGUCAGUAGCACAGAGACAGAUCUAAACUGCUCAGAAACAAACAUAGGUAGUUUUGGUUUCACGUGUGGCCAGUGGCAGAACGAGGAAAACAAAAAUAUAAAUAAUAUAUCUUUUUUUUUUUAAUUUAUAUUUAAAAAACGGGUGCUUUUGUUUUUCAGCUCGUGAUGAUUUUCAGUUGGGUAUAAAUAUCAGUCUAAACUGGCCAAUAAAUUAAUCUCUAACAUUUUUCCCCCAAUCUCAGACUCAAAGAUUUUCCCGGGGUGGAGUGCUCAAGGUUGAUGGCGACACUGGCAAACUAUAGAUCGACUGAAAAGCCGCAUGCUUCUCUUUGUAUUGACCUAACUUUCCCUUUAGACAUACACUUUAUAGCUCAAUAACAUAAUAAAUAGGAAAAAAAACAAAGAAACAGACAAAUAAAAACAAUUGCUGUUACAAUGCAUUCGUCAAUUUAGUUUAGGCACAAGGCAAUUUCCACAUACGGUUGGAGGAGAUUGCGAAGUCUCUGAUUGUUCAGAAGCAACACACUUCUUGCAGACAGUGAUAUGUGUUGAAGAUUUUUUUCUUGUGGGGGAGAAAUUUGCAAAUGGAAUCUGGUCACAGGGAGCUGGACGCUUGGCUCUACUUCAAUCUUAGGAGUGGACUGUGUUAGACUCGUCGUUUUGCUUCAAGUGGUCUGUCUCCUCCAAUUGGUGUCACAAACUGCGAGUCCUGUCUGUCACUGGGAAGCAAGGUCACCGACUCAGACGGGACAGAAAUGAUCUGCAUCGCUCUGAUCUGGAGGAGAGGAAGCAAAGAAGGAGCACUGAUCAGAGGUGCGCAUCAAAGGAGCUGAGCGUAGGCCGUCCAAAUUUUAGCUUCAGCACUAGAGCUGGUGAUUAAAGUCCUGCUGUUUUACAUAUUUAUUUUUUAAAAAGUCUGACAUAAAUCAGACAUAAAUCAAUAAAGGACAAUUAUAACA